AGUGAACGCUGGCGGUAGGCCUAACACAUGCAAGUCGAACGGCAGCACAGUAAGAGCUUGCUCUUACGGGUGGCGAGUGGCGGACGGGUGAGGAAUACAUCAGAAUCUACUUUUUCGUGGGGGAUAACGUAGGGAAACUUUCGCUAAUACCGCAUACGACCUACGGGUGAAAGCAGGGGAUCUUCGGACCUUGCGCGAUUGAAUGAGCCGAUGUCGGAUUAGCUAGUUGGCGGGGUAAAGGCCCACCAAGGCGACGAUCCGUAGCUGGUCUGAGAGGAUGAUCAGCCACACUGGAACUGAGACACGGUCCAGACUCCUACGGGAGGCAGCAGUGGGGAAUAUUGGACAAUGGGCGCAAGCCUGAUCCAGCCAUACCGCGUGGGUGAAGAAGGCCUUCGGGUUGUAAAGCCCUUUUGUUGGGAAAGAAAAGCAGCAGGUUAAUACCCCGCUGUUCUGACGGUACCCAAAGAAUAAGCACCGGCUAACUUCGUG
rnacentral:rRNA from 1 species